ensembl:misc_RNA 7SK 7SK RNA
AGAUAUAAGGGUGAUCUGGCUGCGACAUCUGUCACCCCACUGAUCACCAGGGUUGAUGUGGCUGAUCUGGCUGGCUACGCAGGUGUCUCCUUCCUCCCUCACUGUGCCAUGUGCGUCCCUCCCAAAGAUUCAUGCUUGGCCAAAGAGGAUGACCCAUCCCUGAUAGAAGAGGACCAUUCCUUGGUCAAGGGUAUACGUGUAGCUGCACUCCCCUGCUAAAACCUCCAAACAAACUCUCAAAAACAAAAUACAAAACAAAAGGGUUGGGGGCAUAGCUCAAGUGGCAGAGUGUUUGCCUAGCAUGCAUGAGGCCUCAGGUUCAAA